GAUGAACGCUGACAGAAUGCUUAACACAUGCAAGUCGAUUCGAUUUACCUUCGGGUAUUGAGGAUGGCGGACGGGUGAGUAACGCGUAAGGAACUUGCCUCUUGGUCUGGGACAACUGUUGGAAACGACAGCUAAUACCGGAUAUUAUGAGAUUCUCGCAUGGGAAACUUAUGAAAGCUAUAUGCGCCAAGAGAGAGCCUUGCGUUCCAUUAGCUAGUUGGUGGGGUAACGGCCCACCAAGGCGACGAUGGAUAGCCGGCCUGAGAGGGUGAACGGCCACAAGGGGACUGAGACACGGCCCUUACUCCUACGGGAGGCAGCAGUGGGGAAUAUUGGACAAUGGGCCACAAGCCUGAUCCAGCAAUUCUGUGUGCACGAUGAAGGUCUUCGGAUUGUAAAGUGCUUUCAGUUGGGAAGAAGAAAGUGACGGUACCAACAGAAGAAGCGACGGCUAAAUACGUGCCAGCAGCCGCGGUAAUACGUAUGUCGCAAGCGUUAUCCGGAUUUAUUGGGCGUAAAGCGCGUCUAGGCGGAAAAAUAAGUCUGAUGUUAAAAUGCGGGGCUCAACUCCGUAUUGCGUUGGAAACUGUUUUUCUAGAGUACUGGAGAGGUGGGCGGAACUACAAGUGUAGAGGUGAAAUUCGUAGAUAUUUGUAGGAAUGCCGAUGGAGAAGUCAGCUCACUGGACAGANACUGACGCUAAAGCGCGAAAGCGUGGGGAGCAAACAGGAUUAGAUACCCUGGUAGUCCACGNC
rnacentral:rRNA from 1 species